rnacentral:rRNA from 1 species
AUAUCAAUAAGCGGAGGAAAAGAAACCAACAGGGAUUGCCCCAGUAACGGCGAGUGAAGCGGCAACAGCUCAAAUUUGAAAUCUGGCCCCUAGGGUCCGAGUUGUAAUUUGUAGAGGAUGCUUUUGGUGAGGUGCCGCCCGAGUUCCCUGGAACGGGACGCCACAGAGGGUGAGAGCCCCGUCUGGCUGGCCGCCGAGCCUCUGUAAAGCUCCUUCGACGAGUCGAGUAGUUUGGGAAUGCUGCUCAAAAUGGGAGGUAUAUGUCUUCUAAAGCUAAAUAUUGGCCAGAGACCGAUAGCGCACAAGUAGAGUGAUCGAAAGAUGAAAAGCACCUUGAAAAGAGGGUUAAAUAGUACGUGAAAUUGUUGAAAGGGAAGCGCUUGCGACCAGACUUGGGCGCGGCGGAUCAUCCGGGGUUCUCUCCGGUGCACUUCGCCGCGUCUAGGCCAGCAUCAGUUCGUCGCGGGGGAAAAAGGCUUCGGGAACGUGGCUCCUCCGGGAGUGUUAUAGCCCGUUGCAUAAUACCCUGCGGUGGACUGAGGACCGCGCAUCUGCAAGGAUGCUGGCGUAAUGGUCGCCAGCGA